UGUCGUUUGUCGUUUUAAUUAAUGAAAGCUGAUAGAUGUGUUGACCACACGAGGGAGCAGAUGUCUUUGAGUCUGCUCGUAAGUGAAACUGAAGCGCAGUUGUUCCUCCGCUCCACUAGGCGGCGGAAGCGGCUUCACGUUCAGUCUGAGCGCUUCAGAUGAGUGACAGAAUGACGCUUGUUGUGACAGCAUGUGCAGACCGUUUAAAAUACAGAUCCUGCAGAUGACAGCUCUGGGACAGUGUUUUUAAUGUCAUUAAACAGCAUCUAUUCCAGCACAAAAACAAACAAAACCGACACCCGCUGCGAUAAAGUGCAGGAAUCGAGAGUCACUAGUAAGGGAUGUGUUUGAACAGAAGCAGAGCUCUGGGACGUGUGGACAGACUUUCACUGUAAUGAUGGACAUCCGCUGAUGGACAGAAGUAUAACCCCUGCUGGACAUCGUGCCGGGGCUCGGGGGGGACCCGAAUCAUCCCCACGCCUUCAUUCACACAACACUCACUCAUAUCGCAGAGAUCUGGCUGGGAUCGAACCAGCAACCUCUGAACCGUGAGGCAGCGCUCUAACCUGUGAGCCACAGAUCUCUUGUCUGAACAUA